rnacentral:rRNA from 1 species
CCUACGGGUGGCAGCAGUGAGGAAUAUUGGUCAAUGGGCGAAAGCCUGAACCAGCCAAGUCGCGUGAGGGAGUACUGCCCUAUGGGUUGUAAACCUCUUUUGUCGGGGAGCAAAAGCCGGACGUGUCCGGCUGUGAGAGUACCCGAAGUAAAAGCAUCGGCUAACUCCGUGCCAGCAGCCGCGGUAAUACGGAGGAUGCGGGCGUUAUCCGUAUUUAUUGGGGUUAAAGGGUGCGCAGGCGGAUUUUUAAGUCAGCGGUCAAAUCGUGGGGCUCAACCCCAUCCAGCCGAUGAAACUGGGGAUCUAGAGUGUGCGAGAGGUAUGCGGAAUGCGUGGUGUAGCGGUGAAAUGCAUAGAUAUCUCGCAGAACCCCGAUUGCGAAGGCAGCAUACUGGGGCACAACUGACGCUCAGGCACGAAAGCGUGGGUAUCGAACAGGAUUAGAUACCCUGGUAGUC